GUGGGGAAUUUUGGACAAUGGGCGCAAGCCUGAUCCAGCAAUGCCGCGUGCAGGAAGAAGGCCUUCGGGUUGUAAACUGCUUUUGUACGGAACGAAAAGGCUCUGGUUAAUACCUGGGGCUCAUGACGGUACCGUAAGAAUAAGCACCGGCUAACUACGUGCCAGCAGCCGGGGUAAUACGUAGGGUGCAAGCGUUAAUCGGAAUUACUGGGCGUAAAGCGUGCGCAGGCGGUUUUGUAAGACAGAGGUGAAAUCCCCGGGCUCAACCUGGGAAUUGCCUUUGUGACUGCAAGGCUGGAGUGCGGCAGAGGGGGAUGGAAUUCCGCGUGUAGCAGUGAAAUGCGUAGAUAUGCGGAGGAACACCGAUGGCGAAGGCAAUCCCCUGGGCCUGCACUGACGCUCAUGCACGAAAGCGUGGGGAGCAAACAGGAUUAGAAACCCCAGUAGUCC
rnacentral:rRNA from 1 species